UACGAAGGGGGCUAGCGUUGCUCGGAAUCACUGGGCGUAAAGGGUGCGUAGGCGGGCCUUUAAGUCAGGGGUGAAAUCCUGGAGCUCAACUCCAGAACUGCCUUUGAUACUGUGGAUCUUGAGUUCGGGAGAGGUGAGUGGAACUGCGAGUGUAGAGGUGAAAUUCGUAGAUAUUCGCAAGAACACCAGUGGCGAAGGCGGCUCACUGGCCCGAUACUGACGCUGAGGCACGAAAGCGUGGGGAGCAAACAGG
rnacentral:rRNA from 1 species